AGGGGACCUUCGGGCCUUUCGCUAACAGAUGAGCCUGCGUUGGAUUAGCUAGUUGGUGGGGUAAGGGCCCACCAAGGCGACGAUCCAUAGCUGGUCUGAGAGGACGAUCAGCCACACUGGGACUGAGACACGGCCCAGACUCCUACGGGAGGCAGCAGUGGGGAAUAUUGGACAAUGGGCGCAAGCCUGAUCCAGCAAUACCGCGUGUGUGAAGAAGGCCCUAGGGUUGUAAAGCACUUUCAAUUGGGAGGAAAACCCACCGGCCAAUACCCGGUGGCUUGACAUUACCUUUAGAAGAAGCACCGGCUAACUCCGUGCCAGCAGCCGCGGUAAUACGGAGGGUGCGAGCGUUAAUCGGAAUUACUGGGCGUAAAGCGUGCGUAGGCGGCCCGUUAAGUCAGAUGUGAAAGCCCCGGGCUCAACCUGGGAACUGCAUUUGAAACUGGCGGGCUAGAGUUUGGUAGAGGGGAGCGGAAUUUCAGGUGUAGCGGUGAAAUGCGUAGAUAUCUGAGGGAAAACCAGUGGCGAA
rnacentral:rRNA from 1 species